rnacentral:rRNA from 1 species
CAGUCGCCGCGGUAAUACAGAGGGUGCAAGCGUUAAUCGGAAUUACUGGGCGUAAAGCGCGCGUAGGUGGUUUGUUAAGUUGGAUGUGAAAUCCCCGGGCUCAACCUGGGAACUGCAUCCAAAACUGGCAAGCUAGAGUACGGUAGAGGGUGGUGGAAUUUCCUGUGUAGCGGUGAAAUGCGUAGAUAUAGGAAGGAACACCAGUGGCGAAGGCGACCACCUGGACUGAUACUGACACUGAGGUGCGAAAGCGUGGGGAGCAAACAGGAUUAGAUACCCCCGUAGUCCCUGUCUCUUAUAA